rnacentral:rRNA from 1 species
CAGACGCGCUUUGCAAUAUUCAACCCCAUACUUCACGGAGCACGCCUAUUCCAGCAGUGGGAUGUCGACAUGUUCAUCAAGAUUGAGGGUUGUAGGCUGAAGUGGAUCAGGGACCACUAGACGCAGAUACGUGUCGAUCUAUACCAAGGCCUUGUGGAUAGCAUCGCAGUUGGGGAGAUGCAAGCGAGCGCUAUUGGCAAGAGGAUCGUGCUCCUAGGGACACAUCAGGGAUGCGGCCGAGACAUGAAGCAGAGGCAUAUGGAUGCCAUGGCAUUGGUGCAGACGUAUGGGAAGCCUGACAUCUUUUUGACUAUGACAUGCAACCCUAGCUAG